rnacentral:misc_RNA from 1 species
CGAACCGGGGGGCUGACCGCGACGAUUACACUGCUUGAUUCCUGCCCCUCCCCACCCCCCCUUCUCUCUAGGCAGCACGCGGCGUGACAGGAGGGGAUAUUACGAGCAACAGAGUCGUAGCUGUCACGGUGCCGUCGCGAUUCAUCGCACGCAACACCGCCCCUCACGCGCACCCAGACAGCAGAGCCCAACGUCAGCGGCACCUGCUCACGUCCCCGUUUCUCCUUUCUUCUCCUCGUUCUCUUCCUUUGGUAUCUCUGACCAUCUUCGCAAGCUAUGCUCGCGCCAAGGAGCGUUCGGUGGUGCGGUGGCAACCGGCGCAGCAGCGGUAGCGCGAGUGUCGGCGUUGGCCCACAUGUGCGCACGACGGGGCCCUGGAUGCCUUGGCACACUCUACUCUAUCAGCGUCGCUGCUUCCAAGUGAUCCAACGCGGGCACGACCGGCCACAGGAGUCUCUCUAUAACAAGCUGGGCUUCGCCAAAGACACGGAGGCACGCCUUGUGCGCCGCAGCACCACUGAACUGCGGCAGGCCCUGCUGCGACGCGUCGAAGAGCUAAAGGACCCCGCGAACGACCCAGCGGACAAGAAGCGACUGUCGGAGCUGAAGGAUGCGUACACCCGCCUACAGGACGACUGCUUCCGCACGAACUACGCAAGUCAUUACUACGCCUCCAACGACGCUCGACUACAUGUUCUGUGCGACGGCGGUCAGGUGGCCGCCAACUUCAACCCGGAGCACCAGCAGUUCACCUACGUGGACCACGCCAUUGACCGCGAGAGCACCGGCAGCGGUGUUGGUCGCUGCUUGCCCACGGGAAAGGCUGGCGGUUCAGCUUUGAGUUCGGGGCCCCCCGGUCGCAGCGAGGUGCCGACGGCGGAGGCACUUGGCGAUGCCUUCCGAAACGCCACCGGCGUCGGCGAGAGCGCCAGUGGUGCCACCUCGUCAAACGCCACCGCCUACAAGGCAGCGGACGCAGCAGGGGCGCUGAACGGUACCGACAUCACGCACCUGCUGCGCGUCACCCUCGAGCAGAGUCUAGCAGGCUGUGAAGUGGAGGUGGCGAUACACAAAAAUGUUCGCUGCGUCACGUGUCGCGGCUCGGGUCGGCAGCAGCUGCGGACACCGCGGAAGUGCCCGCAGUGCCUGGGCCGCGGCUCUGCGCACAUGCCAAGUGCCACCUAUCACAUUGAACGCCGCUGCCUCUACUGCGGUGGCGAGGGGACCGUGCCGGCGCCGCCGUGCCGCGCGUGUGAUGGCCGUGGCGUGCAGCUCCACCAGGCGGUGCAGGUGCCGGUCAGCGUGCCCGCAGGUACCCUGUCCAACUCCCUCUUCCGCCUUCGCCACCAGGGACAUGACGGGGUGCGUGGUGGCCAUGCUGGUGAUCUACUCCUCACUGUGCUGGUGAGCGAGCACCGCUAUUUCUACCGUAGUCCCGAGAGGAGCCACGAGCUGCAUGCGAUGCUGCCACUGCCGCUCUCAGUAGCAUUACUCGGCGGUCGUGUCAACGUACCGACGCUGAAUGGGUUCGGCACGGUGCACGUGCCGCCGUGUGUGCGAAGCGGUGAGGUUCUUCCGCUGGAUGUGUAUGGGGCACCCGAUGCCACGAAUCGCGCCUCUGCAGCGGCGGCAGCUCCGCACACAAUCCUCUAUCAUGCCUUGGUGAUGAUUCCAAAGGGGGAUGCACUGUCUGGACGGCAGAAGGCAGCACUGCAGCUGUACGAGGCGCACCACAGCUAUCCGUCUGCCACAGCAGCAGAGGUGGAGGCCGUGGGCCGGUCACGCACCUUUGGUGCUGAAGCCUCGCAACAACAGGCACCAGCAUCAUCGGCAGGCACGGUCUCCCGCGAGCAGCUGAUGGCAAGUUGCGCCGCCCUCAAAUCCUCGUACACGCACUGGUUUCAUGCAGACUGAUAGCACGCACGAUCGUGCGCAUUUUCGUGUUUCACGGAUCGCCGUGGAGGGGUGCAGAUGGCAUGGAUUUAUGCGCUCAUCUAUGCGUGUGUGUCUGUGUGCGGGUAAGGUGCCAAGGUCGGAGGUGCCGCCGCGCAAAGCCCGGGGACCGCAGGAAUGAGCACUGCGAGCAUGCUGAUGGGGCGCGUCGCUGAUGAAAAAGACGGCGAAAGUGGGGCUGCUUGAUUGGAUGCUAUUGUCAGGCGAGGGAGAGACACACACACGCACACACACACACAGACGAAAACAGAUGCGGAAGGGCGCUGGACCCAUGCGGAGGGAUGGCUGCAGCCCUCCGCCCCCCACCCCACCAUCCUCACCACCACCACCCGCGCCCCAGAGUUCCGCAGCACAGCGCGACGGAAUCAAGCAAACCCGGAAAGCAGAGGUACGGGAGAAGAGAUGCAUACUCAGUGACCCUAAAACUGUGACGGAAGCGGAACGAAAAAAAAGUGAAGGCCGCUCCAAGACGUUCGUGGUGCGUAUUGCACCGUAAAGUGCCGGGCACGCGCAGCAUUACAUACAGUCACGCCAAGAAGCGUCUUGUCCUCUGCGCUAGCGUUCUUGUGCCCCACCAUUCUCGUGCUGUUUCUUCCGUGAGCUCGCGUUCGGUCCUGCUGAGACCGACGAGCAACUCUGCCGCAGAUCUCCGCCCCUUGCCCCCCUCCACCAGCCUCUCCCUUCUGAACCCCCAUCUGCUGCACCUCAG